rnacentral:rRNA from 1 species
AGUGAACGCUGGCGGUAGGCCUAACACAUGCAAGUCGAACGGCAGCACAGUAAGAGCUUGCUCUUACGGGUGGCGAGUGGCGGACGGGUGAGGAAUACAUCGGAAUCUACUUUUUCGUGGGGGAUAACGUAGGGAAACUUACGCUAAUACCGCAUACGACCUACGGGUGAAAGCAGGGGAUCUUCGGACCUUGCGCGAUUGAAUGAGCCGAUGUCGGAUUAGCUAGUUGGCGGGGUAAAGGCCCACCAAGGCGACGAUCCGUAGCUGGUCUGAGAGGAUGAUCAGCCACACUGGAACUGAGACACGGUCCAGACUCCUACGGGAGGCAGCAGUGGGGGAAUAUUGGACAAUGGGCGCAAGCCUGAUCCAGCCAUACCGCGUGGGUGAAGAAGGCCUUCGGGUUGUAAAGCCCUUUUGUUGGGAAAGAAAAGCAGCAGGUUAAUACCCCGCUGUUCUGACGGUACCCAAAGAAUAAGCACCGGCUAACUUCGUG